GUUGGGCCUACGUGGCCGCUGUGUUACUGCUUUGGCCGUUCGUGGAUUUGGGAGGCAACGGCCUGGAUCGUGAGCCUGAUCUGAGGCGGUUCCUUUGACCAUUUUCCCAUUUUUUCUCCACCCACGCAUUGUCUUCCUCGCUUCCUCCUCCAAUCCCUAGAUCAUCUUCGUCCUGCACCGCUGCACGGCGACCGGUAGAACUCCGGCUCUCCACUUCCGCGCAUCUGGUUCGCGAAAUCUUGUUUGGUGAGUCCUCCAUCCAUGGUGUCGUUGUCGUUGGGACAGGAAGACGAGGCGAGGAUGAGUGUCCGCGUCCCGGAGCUGGCGGACAUGGCGCCGGUGCCGCAGAGCGACGGGCACUGCCGUGUGGUGGCCAUCGCCUACCGCGAGGCCAUGGACUACUUCUGCGCCCUCUACGCCGCAUCGCUCGCGCUCUUCGCCUCACCGCCGAUGCCAGUCACAUCAACCCCAACAACACUGUCUGACAUUUUAGCCAUGUUAUUCUAGAGGCAUUAGAUGCUGAUUUGCUACAAGAACUCCUCACCCGAGGAGGCUUGGCUUAGGUUGCGUCACCGCUGUUGCUGCCGCUAUACUCCACCGGCGGCCGCUUGGAAUUGCAGUAAGAUCCGCUGUCUCGUUUAUCAUUGUUGCUUCAGUAAUACAUUGCAAGGUAUUUGCAAACAAAUUAAAUCUGCAAGAGCCAAUGAAAUAUAUUCACGGUCUGUUGCAUAGAAAUAAUGUGUUGUGUAGUAUAUUUUUCAUGAUUGUAGCUCACAGCCAAUUUCAAGAAGCUAUCUUGUUGACACAUAAGACGUAUGCAUUCUCUAUUUAUAAUAUUUUGAUGGAUUUUUUCUAAGAAUUAAUCUGUCAUAUAUAAAACAUCCUUAACUAUUUCUGUGAAUUACAUAGUACGACAAUCUCUAUUUAUAUUUUUUUGCAUGACUUCCGGUUAUCUUGCAGUAUUGUUCAAUAUAUAUUUCUUUCAUAAAUUGUAGUACAGGCCACGAGGUGGUUUUCUGUACAUGGGUGUGCGUGCACCAGGUUGAGUGGAAAUAGUAGAAUAUCAUGCAUGUGUAAGUUUGUAGAAGUUCUGAGGCUGGAUAUUUUUUUGGACGUCUGAACAUAUGAAAUUUGAGCCAAAAUUAUAUGUGUUUGAGUUCUCUGCAGAAGAAUAAAAAAGGAGAUAGUUUCUAAAAUAGUCCAUGCAAAUAUGCUCAAUUAUUUUAUUUUGUGGAGCAUGCAAAAUAAAAAAUUAUUGGACAAACAUACUUCAGAAUAGUAUGUGUUCCUUCGUUGUACUGUACAUAACCCGAAUUCUGUUUUCUGCAUAUUGGUUACCUAGCCUUAGGAAUACUGGUUGAAUAAUAUUUGUUUGUUACUUCUCUCUAAACUAAGUAUGGACAUGGCAUAUGCCUGUCCCUGCACAUAUUUAAUCUUCCGCUAUUCAACCAUGUGCCUACAGCCAUAUUGGUGCAUUGCAUUUCUUUAUCUAUUCUCUCAAUUCUUAGUUUUAUGUAGCAAGUAGAAUGACAGUGGAUUGACUCAAUGUAGCAGGACAUGUAUUCUCUUACACCUAACUCAUUGUUCCAGUUUACUAACAGAUAUAAUUAAUCUGUUUUUUGCCCUAUGAUUAACCAUGAGAAACUACCAGAUUUUUCAGUGAUAAUUAUUUAAUAACAUGUUCUUUUUUUUCACGUCUACAUUUAUAUUCUAUAUACAUUACUCCCUCCGUGAUGUGACUUACCAAAACAUCUUAUAUACAUAUUCUUCAUCCCUAUGAAUGUGUAAGAUAAUAAUAAUCUUUACCUGCUCAUGACCAUUGUGGUGUUGAUAGUCUCAGGGCUUUGACUAAUGGAACCAAGUAGAAAAAUUGAUAAAAUUUGGGCAUAUCUAUAAGAUGAUAAUUGCUGAGAGUGCUCAUUCUCUGAUCGAGAAAGUUAUUAAUUUUGCGCAAGGAUGUUUGAGGCCAGGUGGUAGCUCACUAUGGUUAUACCACACAUGAAGGCCAUGUAAAGAAUUAUAUGGCUAAUGAUGAAUUGGUAGUGUCAAAGCGGUUACUUGAAUUUAUUUGUCUACUCGGACUUCUGUGAAUACCUAGGAUACUAAUUAUUUUUAUGGAAGCAUAUAUUUAUCUCAAAUGUGAGAUUUGUUGAUUGUUCUUAUCUGAAUGGUAUUUUGUUUUCAAAUGAUGGAGCUCAUAAAUUUCCCGAUGUUAGAAACAGAAAUUGUUUCUGAAUUUAGCUUUCAAAUAUAGACAACAAUCGACUUUAUGGUAGCAGGAGCUCAGAUUAAAAGCCUCACGUUUGUACAAAUAAACAUAUGCUAUUUAUGGUUUUAUUAAAUACUUAAGGUCUUCAUACUCUCAUGCGACCUUUAUGUUCCCUAUGCUGAUAUAAAAAUUGUGUACUUUGUCGUCUCAUGUGUGUUAUAUAUGUUUGGUUUACCAGUUUGCAAAUUAUUUCCAUGAUAUACUUAUGAUUCAGGUUUAGGAUAGCUAAGCAAAAAUUUAAAAGGCGGUCUAUUGGAUUAGCCCUUCAGGAUGUGUGUGCACUCAAAAGGGAAAAUGAUGAAUUUAUUCUAUGGACAAUGAUAUUUCCUAUUCAGUAGUUUGUUGAGUCACUUGAUACUUUGAAUUUCGUGUUUCAUAAUUAAUGGGAUUGCGGAAGUAUCUGAGAUGCACGUAUCGUGAUUUCCGUGUUAUUUCGUAAUAUCCUUUACCAAAGAGCAAACAUCUUUGAAUAAGUUUUUGUUUACUUCUCUUUUCUUAGCCUCGCAUUAUUGUCUUCCACAUCAAUCAAACCUUGGGGCAUGUGCUUGGUCUUGUGGAUUUUGUUGAAACUGAAAACCAGAUAUCCUCAGAGCUCUAAGCUCCCAGGGUCCUCGGCGCCUGCAGGCAUCUCAAGGGUUGUUGUCGUGGGUCCCGCUCAGGGGAAUGCUGCGCUUGAGUUUGGCUUCGUUCUUAUGUCACUGGAUUGGUGGGUCUGCGGUCGUGUGGUUCCUUUUGAUUGUUGUACUCUUGUUCAGUCUACGAGAGAAUAGUGAGAGGGCCAAACGAAAAGAGGAAGGAGGCUAGGGUUGGGUUUCCCCUUGCGGGGGACAGGCACCGGCGGCGACUCUGCUGCCUCUCUGACCCGGUAAAGGAUCCCACCCAACCUUGAUCAUGGUCUUCCCAAAUUCGUUUUCCAUCGGUGGAUGUGACGCUUCUGAUGUCGUUGUCCAAAUUGUGCCACCCCCGUGGCCCCGUUCCUACGGUCUCCGCUGGACUCUGCCGACCUCUCCGCCGGACUCCCCUGUAGAUGUUCAUGCUUGGAUUUUAAUUUUUAACAUGUUCUCUGUUGAUGGUUUGUUGAUUAUCAGGAUGUUGUUGAUACAGAUGAGUUUGCUAGAGAUAAAUGAUGCUCUUCUGAUUUAGCAGCAAAGUGAACUUUGUUGGAGCUCCUGUGUGGCUUCUUGUUGUCUUUGAUGCAAACUGCUCCUGGUUAUGUGAACUACUUCUCAGCCUUCCGGACCCAUGUGCCGCUUCCACAAGUGCACACUUCCCUUUGUUCUUCUAUUGUCGGCGACAGUAGGCGAGAACCAAAGCUCACUUCUCAUCCGCAGGUGGUUCACUCGAUUAUUUGCCGUUGUUUCUUGAUUAGGCGAAAUUCAACUUUGUUGUUUUUCCUGUAACCAGAGAAAUGAACUACAACUUCCAAUGGUCUUAGUUCUUGUCAGUGAAAAGAAGUGAUAAAUUAUUAAAAGGGAGUACAUGACAAUCUGGAUGGUACUU